UCAUCUCAAUAGUGUGACUUUUUAAGUCAUAAGCAUGACUUUUUUUCUUAUUGUGCGCAAAUGGGCUUCCGUAGUGAGUUCUUCUGUUAAAGUGUGUGAUGUGUCAGUGUGAGGAUGAAGAGGAGGAGAGAUUGAGCAGGACUCCACGCAGAGGAAGAUCCUCCAGAGCAUCUGAUGCUCCACAGAGAGAAACACGCUCUGCUUCACAACCCAAGGAGGCGGAGUCAGUCGUGGAGGAGGAGCCAAAAGAGCAGGGCCGCAGGAAUCGCCACUCCGCAGCUCAGACCAGAGACGCUCCUGCAGGUGACUGUUUGAAU